rnacentral:rRNA from 1 species
CGCUGGCGGCGUGCCUAACACAUGCAAGUCGAACGGAGUUAAGGAAGCUUGCUUUUUUAACUUAGUGGCGGACGGGUGAGUAACGCGUGAGUAACCUGCCUUUCAGAGGGGAAUAACGUUCUGAAAAGAACGCUAAUACCGCAUAACGUUACGGAAUCGCAUGGUUCUGUAACCAAAGAUUUAUUGCGCAAGGAUGGGCUCGCGUUGGAUUAGAUAGUUGGUGAGGUAACGGCCCACCAUGGCGACGAUCAGUAGCCGGUCUGAGAGGAUGAACGGCCACAUUGGGACUGAGACACGGCCCAGACUCCUACGGGAGGCAGCAGUGGGGAAUAUUGCGCAAUGGGGGAAACCCUGACGCAGCAACGCCGCGUGAAGGAUGAAGGCCUUCGGGUUGUAAACUUUUUGAUCGGGGACGAAUAAUGACGGUACCCGAAAAACAAGUCACGGCUAACUACGUG